GACGAACGCUGGCGGCGUGCCUAAUACAUGCAAGUCGAGCGAAUGGAUGGGAGCUUGCUCCCUGACAUUAGCGGCGGACGGGUGAGUAACACGUGGGCAACCUGCCCUGCAGAUGGGGAUAACUCCGGGAAACCGGGGCUAAUACCGAAUAAUCAGUUCCUCCGCAUGGAGGAACUCUGAAAGACGGUUUCGGCUGUCACUGCAGGAUGGGCCCGCGGCGCAUUAGCUAGUUGGUGGGGUAACGGCCUACCAAGGCGACGAUGCGUAGCCGACCUGAGAGGGUGAUCGGUCACACUGGGACUGAGACACGGCCCAGACUCCUACGGGAGGCAGCAGUAGGGAAUCUUCCACAAUGGACGAAAGUCUGAUGGAGCAACGCCGCGUGAGCGAAGAAGGUUUUCGGAUCGUAAAGCUCUGUUGUGAGGGAAGAACAAGUACGGGAGUAACUGUCCGUACCUUGACGGUACCUCAUUAGAAAGCCACGGCUAACUACGUGCCAGCCGCCGCCGUAA
rnacentral:rRNA from 1 species